ACGAAUGGACAUCACAUGGGGUUGUAGCUGGUCCUCGCGGACAAGUGCUCGCCUCUGUGUCUUCCAACACACCCUGUGCACACCGGCGUGGGUCGUGGGGGCCCUUCGGGGUCUUCGUGGCUCAUCGCUUUUCUCUUACAAACUCUUGUAUGUCUUAGAAUGUACCUUGCGCUUAAACGCAUCUAAUA
rnacentral:misc_RNA from 1 species